GUGUCUGCGCAGAAGUGUGCGUGUGCGUGUACGCGCGAGAGGCGAUGCACGCGGUGUCUUCGACGACCCGCCUUCUUCACCUUUCCCACCCCCUUGCCCACACACGCUUCACAAACAAACAGCGAAGACAACAACAGCAAGGUGCUGAGGCAAGGCAGGCGCCUACAUACACACACACACACACACGUGCUUACUGGAUGCCGAUGUAUGUUUGCCUACCUGCCGUCGCGCUGCCAAGCGAGGGAGCGCCACGGCGGAGGAAGCUCGUUCAUUGUGGUGUUAUUUGUCUCUCCCCUUUC
rnacentral:misc_RNA from 1 species